UACGGGGGGAGCAAACGUUGUUCGGAAUCACUGGGCGUAAAGGGCGCGCAGGCGGCUUGGUAAGUCGGGUGUGAAAAUCCGAGGCUCAACCUCGGACGUGCACCUGAAACUGUCAGGCUAGAGGUAGGUAGGGGAGAUCGGAAUUCCUGGUGUAGCGGUGAAAUGCGCAGAUAUCAGGAGGAACACCGGUGGCGAAGGCGGAUCUCUGGGCCUUACCUGACGCUCAGGCGCGAAAGCUAGGGGAGCGAACAGG
rnacentral:rRNA from 1 species